GACGAACGCUGGCGGCGUGCUUAACACAUGCAAGUCGAACGGAAAGGCCCUGCUUUUGUGGGGUGCUCGAGUGGCGAACGGGUGAGUAACACGUGAGUAACCUGCCCUUGACUUUGGGAUAACUUCAGGAAACUGGGGCUAAUACCGGAUAGGAGCUCCUGCUGCAUGGCGGGGGUUGGAAAGUUUCGGCGGUUGGGGAUGGACUCGCGGCUUAUCAGCUUGUUGGUGGGGUAGUGGCUUACCAAGGCUUUGACGGGUAGCCGGCCUGAGAGGGUGACCGGCCACAUUGGGACUGAGAUACGGCCCAGACUCCUACGGGAGGCAGCAGUGGGGAAUAUUGCACAAUGGGCGGAAGCCUGAUGCAGCAACGCCGCGUGCGGGAUGACGGCCUUCGGGUUGUAAACCGCUUUCGCCUGUGACGAAGCGUGAGUGACGGUAAUGGGUAAAGAAGCACCGGCUAACUACGUGCCAGCAGCCGCGGUGAUACGUAGGGUGCGAGCGUUGUCCGGAUUUAUUGGGCGUAAAGAGCUCGUAGGUGGUUGAUCGCGUCGGAAGUGUAAUCUUGGGGCUUAACCCUGAGCGUGCUUUCGAUACGGGUUGACUUGAGGAAGGUAGGGGAGAAUGGAAUUCCUGGUGGAGCGGUGGAAUGCGCAGAUAUCAGGAGGAACACCAGUGGCGAAGGCGGUUCUCUGGGCCUUUCCUGACGUUGAGGAGCGAAAGCGUGGGGAGCGAACAGGCUUAGAUACCCUGGUAGUCCACGCUGUAAACGGUGGGUACUAGGUGUGGGGUCCAUUCCACGGGUUCCGUGCCGUAGCUAACGCUUUAAGUACCCCGCCUGGGGAGUACGGCCGCAAGGCUAAAACUCAAAGGAAUUGACGGGGCCCCGCACAAGCGGCGGAGCAUGCGGAUUAAUUCGAUGCAACGCGUAGAACCUUACCUGGGUUUGACAUGGAUCGGGAGUGCUCAGAGAUGGGUGUGCCUCUUUUGGGGUCGGUUCACAGGUGGUGCAUGGCUGUCGUCAGCUCGUGUCGUGAGAUGUUGGGUUAAGUCCCGCAACGAGCGCAACCCUUGUUCACUGUUGCCAGCACGUUAUGGUGGGGACUCAGUGGAGACCGCCGGGGUCAACUCGGAGGAAGGUGGGGAUGACGUCAAGUCAUCAUGCCCCUUAUGUCCAGGGCUUCACGCAUGCUACAAUGGCUGGUACAGAGAGUGGCGAGCCUGUGAGGGUGAGCGAAUCUCGGAAAGUCGGUCUCAGUUCGGAUUGGGGUCUGCAACUCGACCUCAUGAAGUCGGAGUCGCUAGUAAUCGCAGAUCAGCAACGCUGCGGUGAAUACGUUCCCGGGGCU
rnacentral:rRNA from 1 species